ensembl:miRNA Gm27493 predicted gene, 27493
UACAGGUGGUUGUGAGAUACUAUGUGGUUGCUGAGAAUUGAACUCAGGACCUCUGGAAGUGCUUUUAACCGCUGAGCC